rfam:Mangrovibacter sp. MFB070 Contig-054, whole genome shotgun sequence.
GAAUUUUGAUUAACGCCUGACAGUGUGUCAGGCCUGAUGGAAG